rnacentral:rRNA from 1 species
AUUGAACGAUGGCGGCAUGCCUUACACAUGCAAGUCGAACGGCAGCGCGGGGGCAACCCUGGCGGCGAGUGGCGAACGGGUGAGUAACAUAUCGGAACGUGCCCUGGAGAGGGGGAUAACUAGUCGAAAGACUAGCUAAUACCGCAUACGAUCUUAGGAUGAAAGUGGGGGAUCGCAAGGACUCAUGCUCCUGGAGCGGCCGAUAUCUGAUUAGCGAGUUGGUGGGGUAAAGGCCCACCAGGGCAAAGAUCAGUAGCUGGUCGGAGAGGACGACCAGCCACACUGUUGCUGAGACACGGCCCGGACUCCUACGGGAGGCAGCAGUGGGGAAUUUUGGACAAUGGGGGCAACCCUGAUCCAGCAAUUCCGCGUGUGUGAAGAAGGCCUUCGGGUUGUAAAGCACUUUUGUCCGGAAAGAAAUCGCCCUGGUUAAUACCUGGGGUGGAUGACGGUACUGGAGGAAUAAGCACCGGCUAACUACGUGCCAGCAGCCGCCGUAAAAC